rnacentral:rRNA from 1 species
GUCCAGACUCCUACGGGAGGCAGCAGUGGGGAAUAUUGCACAAUGGGGGAAACCCUGAUGCAGCAACGCCGCGUGGGUGAAGGAGCGUUUCGGCGCGUAAAGCCCUAUCGGCAGGGAAGAAGGAGGACGGUACCUGACUAAGAAGCCCCGGCUAACUACGUGCCAGCAGCCGCGGUAAUACGUAGGGGGCAAGCGUUAUCCGGAUUUACUGGGUGUAAAGGGAGCGUAGACGGCAGUGCAAGUCCGGAGUGAAAGCCCGGGGCUCAACCCUGGGACUGCUCUGGAAACUGUAAAGCUGGAGUGCGGGAGGGGCAGGCGGAAUUCCUGGUGUAGCGGUGAAAUGCGUAGAUAUCAGGAGGAACACCAGUGGCGAAGGCGGCUGUCUGGCCUGUAACUGACGCUGAGGCACGAAAGCGUGGGGAGCAAAUAGGAUUAGAUACCCCAGUA